GACGAACGCUGGCGGCGCGCCUAACACAUGCAAGUCGAACGAGCGAGAGAGAGCUUGCUUUCUCGAGCGAGUGGCGAACGGGUGAGUAACGCGUGAGGAACCUGCCUCAAAGAGGGGGACAACAGUUGGAAACGACUGCUAAUACCGCAUAAGCCCACGACCCGGCAUCGGGUAGAGGGAAAAGGAGCAAUCCGCUUUGAGAUGGCCUCGCGUCCGAUUAGCUAGUUGGUGAGGUAACGGCCCACCAAGGCGACGAUCGGUAGCCGGACUGAGAGGUUGAACGGCCACAUUGGGACUGAGACACGGCCCAGACUCCUACGGGAGGCAGCAGUGGGGAAUAUUGCACAAUGGGGGGAACCCUGAUGCAGCGACGACGCGUGGAGGAAGAAGGUCUUCGGAUUGUAAACUCCUGUUGUUGAGGAAGAUAAUGACGGUACUCAACAAGGAAGUGACGGCUAACUACGUG
rnacentral:rRNA from 1 species